UCUCGAUGGUAGUGUAUUGGACUACCAUGGCGUUGACGGGUAACGGAGAAUUAGGGUUCGAUUCCGGAGAGGGAGCCUGAGAAACGGCUACCACAUCUAAGGAUGGCAGCAGGCGCGCAAAUUACCCAAUCCUAACUCAGGGAGGUAGUGACAAGAAAUAACAACUUCGGGCUUGCCCGAGAUUGGAAUGAGUACRACGUACAAUCUUUAACGAGUACCAACUGGAGGGCAAGUCUGGUGCCAGCAGCCGCGGUAAUUCCAGCUCCAGUAGCGUAUACUAAAGUUGUUGCAGUUAAAAAGCUCGUAGUUGAAUUUCUGUGUAGUGUACUUGCGGUCUCCGGACCAAUAUACACUGCGCAUCCAUCUGAACAGCACUUCUUGUCAUUCAUUUGUCGGUUGUGUGAUCAGAUACUUUACCUUGAGAAAAAUAGAGUGUUCCAAGCAGGCGUCCGCCUGAAUAAUAAAGCAUGGAAUAAUACAAUAGGACUGGGUUCUAUUGGUGCAUAGAACUUAGUAAUGAUUAAUAGGGACAGUUGGGGGCAUUUGUAUUUAAUYGUCAGAGGUGAAAUUCUUUGAUUUAUUAAAGACAAACCUAUGCGAAAGCAUUUGCCAAGGAUGUUUUCAUUAAUCAAGAACGAAAGUUAAGGGAUCAAAGACGAUYAGAUACCGUC
rnacentral:rRNA from 1 species